UACGAGGGGGGCUAGCGUUGCUCGGAAUCACUGGGCGUAAAGCGCACGUAGGCGGCUUUCUAAGUCAGGGGUGAAAUCCUGGAGCUCAACCUCGGAACUGCCUUCGAUACUGCGGGUCUCGAGUCCGGGAGAGGUGAGUGGAAUUCCUAGUGUAGAGGUGAAAUUCGUAGAUAUUAGGAAGAACACCAGUGGCGAAGGCGGCUCACUGGCCCGGUACUGACGCUGAGGCGCGAAAGCGUGGGGAGCAAACAGG
rnacentral:rRNA from 1 species